rnacentral:rRNA from 1 species
GACAGAGGUGCCGAGCGUUAGGCGGAAUCACUGGGCUUAAAGCGUGUGUAGGCGGAUUCCUAAGUACCUUGUGAAAUCCCACGGCUUAACCGUGGAACUGCUCGGUAUACUGGGUGUCUUGAGCCAACUAGAGGCAGUCGGAACAAACGGUGGAGCGGUGAAAUGCGUAGAUAUCGUUUGGAACGCCAAUGGUGAAAACAGACUGCUGGGGUUGUGCUGACGCUGAGACACGAAAGCCAGGGGAGCGAACGGG